AAGCUCAACCUGAGACACCAGCAAGAGCCUUUGGAAACCUGGAGUUUUAUGCUACGUCAGCAUCUGAUCAUGCAGAUGCUUUCCCUCAAGUGAAACAGCCUGGUUCUGAUGGUUUCAGCCUGUCAUCUGCUCCCCUUUUCCAGGUGAUAGCUGGCUGAGAAUGGUACAUUCACACUACAUGGUCGGAUCGAAGGGAAAUGCACACAGUGGCAAGAGAAGCCUCAACUACCACCACACCCUGUCCUCUGCCAAGGGAGGAGUUGGCCCCACAGCUGGGAAAUGCAGCAGAAGAGCCAAUCCAGAUGCCCCAAUCUUCACACAAGACAUUGGAGCAGGCAAUACCAACAAUUUUGUCUCAAAUUUAUAAUGAAGACCUCAGCCAUAUGGACAAGAGACAAACAGGGCUGCCAGGACAAUUCAACUUAUGAAGUGCUGUAGACUGGCUGUCAACCCUGCUGCACCUGCCACAGUGAUUUUUUUAAGUGGUUAUUCAGUGUUCUCAGCUGGUGUCUGCAAAUCAGUCACUGGCAAAUAGAAACUCAGGUCCUAUACCAAUAAAAACUGAACUGCUGCCCAGAAAAUUAAAUCUACAUCUGGGAAUUGUCAGCAAAGCUGAUUUUUCAUUAUUUCCCUAUGUUUACACAACACUGCUGCCCUUGGAUACGUGUUCUUAAGCAGGCCAAAACUGAGCAAAGAUUGCGAGCAUUUGCUGUGAUUUGGUUUGUUUGUUUUCCUAGUAAAUUCUAAAUUAUGCCACAUGAGAUGAUGGCAUCUCAGUCAGAGUAUGCAGACACAGCACCAAGAAGGGACAGUGCAGGGAACACUCGUGCAUGGCACUGUUGGACUGGCUCAGGGCAGAGCCAGGGUUGCUAAUUACAGCUGUGCACAGCUGGAGUCAGCACCAGUUCCUUUCACAUCACACCAGUGCUGUCUCUGAUCUACCCCAGCUGAGCGUGUGAGAGCAGCAGGUUGUGUUUCAUGUAUUGUCACGUUUUCUGUUCUGACUUCUUGUUGUUUGCCAAUACCCCCAUUCUGCCAUGCUUAGGCCAGUCUAAUGCAGUACAGACCUCAGCAUCACUGACUGACUGACCUUUCUCCUGGAGCAGAUUUUAAGCAGAAAGUGUUACAAUUCUGUUCCAAUCUGUAUGUGUGCUGAUC